rnacentral:rRNA from 1 species
AGAGUUUGAUCAUGGCUCAGAACGAACGCUGGCGGCGCGUUUUAAGCAUGCAAGUCGAACGGUAGCAGGUAGCAAUACCUGCGAGAGUGGCGCACGGGUGAGUAACACGUAGGUGAUCUACCUUUGGGUGGGGGGAUAGUCCAUGGAAACAUGGGGUAAUACCGCAUGAGGCCUCUGGGUUGGACCCUGGAGGUGAAAGGAGCAAUUGUUCCGCCUGAGGAUGAGCCUGCGGUCCAUUAGCUAGUUGGCGGGGUAAGAGCCCACCAAGGCUACGAUGGAUAGCCGGCCUGAGAGGGUGUACGGCCACACUGGGACUGAGACACGGCCCAGACUCCUACGGGAGGCAGCAGCUAAGAAUCUUCCGCAAUGGGGGAAACCCUGACGGAGCGACGCCGCGUGGGCGAUGAAGGCCGGAAGGUUGUAAAGCCCUUUUCUUGGCGAAGAAUAAGGCUGGGGGUGGACUACCCAGCUGAUGACGUUAGCCGAGGAAUAAGCCCCGGCCAAUUACGUGCCAGCAGCCGCGGUAACACGUAUGGGGCGAGCGUUGUUCGGAGUUAUUGGGCGUAAAGGGCGUGUAGGCGGCUCUCGCAAGCUUGGUGUUAAAGGUUUCGGCUUAACCGGAACAGUGCGCUGAGAACUGCGGAGCUGGAGUCUAGGAGGGGGAGCUGGAAUUCCUGGUGUAGGGGUGAAAUCUGUAGAUAUCAGGAAGAACACCGGUGGCGAAGGCGAGCUCCUGGCCAUAGACUGACGCUGAGGCGCGAAAGCGUGGGGAGCAAACAGGAUUAGAUACCCUAGUAGUCC